rnacentral:rRNA from 1 species
CAGCAGCCGCGGGAAUACGAAGGGGGCUAGCGUUGCUCGGAAUGACUGGGCGUAAAGGGCGCGUAGGCGGAUUGUUUAGUUAGGCGUGAAAUUCCUGGGCUUAACCUGGGGACUGCGCUUAAUACAGGCAGUCUAGAGUGAGGAAGAGGGUUGUGGAAUUCCCAGUGUAGAGGUGAAAUUCGUAGAUAUUGGGAAGAACACCGGUGGCGAAGGCGGCAACCUGGUCCUUGACUGACGCUGAGGCGCGAAAGCGUGGGGAGCAAACAGGAUUAGAUACCCCCGUAGUCCCUGUCUCUUAUAC